rnacentral:rRNA from 1 species
CAGGAUGAACGCUAGUGGCAGGCUUAACACAUGCAAGUCGAGGGGCAGCGCGAGUAGCAAUACUUGGCGGCGACCGGCGCAAGGGUGCGUAACGCGUGAGCAACAUGCCCGUAUCAGGGGGAUAAUCCAGGGAAACUUGGUCUAAUACCCCAUAGUAAUUUUUGUAAGGCAUCUUAUAAGAUUUAAAGCUUUGGUGGAUACGGAUUGGCUCGCGUGACAUUAGCUGGAUGGUAAGGUAACGGCUUACCAUGGCUAUGAUGUCUAGGGGUUCUGAGAGGAAGGUCCCCCCACACUGGAACUGAGACACGGUCCAGACUCCUACGGGAGGCAGCAGUGAGGAAUAUUGGACAAUGGAUGGAAAUCUGAUCCAGCCAUGCCGCGUGAAGGAAAGAAGGUCCUAUGGAUUGUAGACUUCUUUUGUAUGGGAGCAAUAAGGCCUACGAGUAGGUUGAUGAGAGUACCAUACGAAUAAGCACCGGCUAACUCCGUGCCAGCCGCCGC